rnacentral:rRNA from 1 species
CCUACGGGGGGCUGCAGUGGGGAAUAUUGGACAAUGGGGGCAACCCUGAUCCAGCCAUGCCGCGUGUGUGAAGAAGGCCCUCGGGUUGUAAAGCACUUUCAGUGAGGAAGAACGCCUGGUGGUUAAUACCCAUCAGGAAAGACAUCACUCACAGAAGAAGCACCGGCUAACUCCGUGCCAGCAGCCGCGGUAAUACGGAGGGUGCGAGCGUUAAUCGGAAUUACUGGGCGUAAAGCGCGCGUAGGUGGCUUGAUAAGCCGGUUGUGAAAGCCCCGGGCUCAACCUGGGAACGGCAUCCGGAACUGUCAAGCUAGAGUGCAGGAGAGGAAGGUAGAAUUCCCGGUGUAGCGGUGAAAUGCGUAGAGAUCGGGAGGAAUACCAGUGGCGAAGGCGGCCUUCUGGACUGACACUGACACUGAGGUGCGAAAGCGUGGGUAGCAAACAGGAUUAGAUACUCCAGUAGUC